rnacentral:rRNA from 1 species
UACGGGGGGGGGCAAGCGUUGUUCGGAAUUACUGGGCGUAAAGGGCGCGUAGGCGGCCUGCUAAGUCGGAUGUGAAAUCCCUCGGCUUAACCGAGGAACUGCAUCCGAUACUGGCGGGCUUGAAUCCGGGAGAGGGAUGUGGAAUUCCAGGUGUAGCGGUGAAAUGCGUAGAUAUCUGGAGGAACACCGGUGGCGAAGGCGGCAUCCUGGACCGGCAUUGACGCUGAGGCGCGAAAGCUAGGGGAGCAAACGGGG